rfam:Leishmania infantum JPCM5 genome chromosome 36
GUAGCCGACGACGUCUGUGUGCUGCGCGAGAACGGCUUGUCGCUCUCCUGUGCGCUUUUCACUGUAAUAGUCGGCAAGA